rnacentral:RNase_P_RNA from 1 species
GAAGCUGACCAGACAGUCGCCGCUUCGUCGUCGUCCCUUUCGGGGGAGACGGGCGGAGGGGAGGAAAGUCCGGGCUCCACAGGGCAGGGUGCCAGGUAACGCCUGGGGGGGAAACCCACGACCAGUGCAACAGAGAGCAAACCGCCGAUGGCCCGCGCAAGCGGGAUCAGGUAAGGGUGAAAGGGUGCGGUAAGAGCGCACCGCGCGGCUGGCAACAGUUCG